UCUAGGGGAUCCCCCAUAAUCGUUGGCAUAAUUCCAACACGGGAUGACACAAUGGAGUUUAGAAUGUGACACGUCAUAAUGGAUUUUAGAAUAAAAAACGUCACAUAGAUCGUCCGCGCUCUCAUGACAUAAAGUGCAGUUUACAAUGUGAUGGGUUAUUUUAUGGUAAGGAGAAGAACAGUCAGGUAGCUCAACCGCCGAUCUUACUCAAAGUGUUCUGAUACCAGAUCUACUGAUUCUGAUAAUCCACUUCGUGUUUUUCCGACCGCACAGCAUUUCUUUCACAAUCUGGAGAUUAACAGAACACAUUUCAAUGGAGAAACACAAUGCACACAAAAGGAAGCAGAUAUCAGCCUUUGAAGACACCUGGUCCCCAUUUUUAACAUUUCUUAAUAACACAAAAACAUAACUACAAGCCGUGUACACUACCAGUCACAUACCUCCCUCUUCUGUUAUGGUCUCACUAAACUGGGUGAAUGGUUACGGUCCACGAACAUUACCAGGGAGAGGCCCGGGUGCCCUGGGACCUGGCGGACGAGUCACUGGAGCCCGGGGAUUUGCUGCAGCCAAAGACACUUCCUUCUGAACAUGGACACCUUUCCCACUGGCAGCAGAACCUGGUUU